UUCCGUCUUGUUCCAGGUACGCCGGGAAGCAGGUGAAGCAGGACGAGGCUAAGCAGAUAAUGAGCAGAUGAUGACGAUGAUGAUGAUGCUCCUGGAUGCUGCGUCGUAACUAGCAGGGACAACAUCCAGAAGCAACGACGCACCCGAACAGUCAUUCGCAUCACCUUGGGUCCGUAUCCUUACACGUAGCCUAUCGGGCUUUCAGAGAAGAUUAACUGGGUGUUCUUGGGUGUUUUCUCCUGAUCAUAGAGCAGAAGGCGUGUAUAACUAUCACUAGAAUCACAAAGCACUCCAUGACAAUCCCAGCAAAGUCUACGAGCGGCGUUUCAAACAGGCGUUUUGAGGUACCGAUAAGGACCGUGGACUGCAGAGGAAGAGCAUCCAAUGGUGAGUGAGGAAGCGGAACACCCCAGCCACCAUCCUGAAGCUUUUGGAACCAAGACUCCUGAGCUGCUGAUCCACCCUUGAGGAGGAGGAUCAAGAAGAUACAUCUGGAGUUUCCCUGACCUUUAGGUUUCCACGUCCUGUUUGGCGGGUUGAGACCUCACCGGUCCAGAGCGAACUGUCUGAAAGAAGCAAGAACACCAAUGGACCGUACUGGCUAUACAGGCAGCGCCACGCGUGGUCACUCGGUGAACUGUCAAAGCAGUACUUUCCAUAGCACUCAAGUUAUGUUACUGGAGUGCAUCUGCGUCUGCCUCCAGGAUACAAGGCCUUGUGUCCGCCACCGCCCCGAGCCAACGACUGCACACACUUUACUUCUACCCAAUUUCCUGACACUACAAUUUGACAUGGAAAAAAAAAUAAUCAUCGACUUCGAGCGAAGGCGGCAUCACGACCGUGUCUCUCGGAGGAAAGUACAGCUUGCCAAUACGGUCCAUUAAGAACACAUUAGCCUUCUUGAUAACGCAUGUAAUUUAGUGAUAAGCGGUAUUUGAACCCGGAACCGCGGAUUCUUUGCGAGCUAACUGUUUAUUACUGUGAAAGGUUGUUCAACAAAUAUAUUGGGGACACU